UCUCAGUGAUGAACUUCCACUUCAUGGUCCGUGUUUUUGAACUCUGUGAUAUUUGCUGAAGUUCUGAGUUG
ensembl:snoRNA SNORD18 Small nucleolar RNA SNORD18